GAUGAACGCUGGCGGCAUGCCUAAUACAUGCAAGUCGAACGAGAGGAAGGAAAGCUUGCUUUUCUGAAUCUAGUGGCGAACGGGUGAGUAACACGUAGGUAACCUGCCCAUGUGCCCGGGAUAACUUCUGGAAACGGAUGCUAAAACCGGAUAGGUAGCAGACAAGCAUUUGACUGCUAUUAAAGUGGCUAAGGCCAUGAACAUGGAUGGACCUGCGGUGCAUUAGCUAGUUGGUGAGGUAACGGCCCACCAAGGCGACGAUGCAUAGCCGGCCUGAGAGGGCGGACGGCCACAUUGGGACUGAGACACGGCCCAAACUCCUACGGGAGGCAGCAGUAGGGAAUUUUCGUCAAUGGGGGGAACCCUGAACGAGCAAUGCCGCGUGAGUGAGGAAGGUCUUCGGAUCGUAAAGCUCUGUUGUAAGAGAAAAACGACAUUCAUAGGGAAUGAUGAGUGAGUGACGGUAUCUUACCAGAAAGUCACGGCUACUACGUGCCAGCCGCCGCGGUAA
rnacentral:rRNA from 1 species